AUGAUGGGAAUUUAAACCUCUUCCAGAGUAUCAAUUGGAGGGCAAGUCUGGUGCCAGCAGCCGCGGUAAUUCCAGCUCCAAUAGCGUAUAUUAAAAUUGUUGCAGUUAAAAAGCUCGUAGUUGAAUUUCUGCUGCAUCGCUGUGUCCCUUCGGGGUCUCUGCAUGUGGCUUAUUUCGGACGGAGUUCGCUUUGUCUGGAUGUUUACUUUGAGAAAAUUAGAGUGCUCAAAGCAGGCUUUUGCCUUGAAUAGUUUAGCAUGGAAUAAUAAAGUAGGACUUUGGUUCUAUUUUGUUGGUUUUAGGUACCAAAGUAAUGGUUAAUAGGAACAGUUGGGGGCAUUCGUAUUUAACUGUCAGAGGUGAAAUUCUUAGAUUUGUUAAAGACGAACUACUGCGAAAGCAU
rnacentral:rRNA from 1 species